rnacentral:rRNA from 1 species
AACGAACGCUGGUGGCAUGCCUAACACAUGCAAGUCGAACGAGACCUUCGGGUCUAGUGGCGCACGGGUGCGUAACGCGUGGGAACCUGCCCUUAGGUUCGGAAUAACUCCCCGAAAGGGGUGCUAAUACCGGAUAAUGUCUUCGGACCAAAGAUUUAUCGCCUUUGGAUGGGCCCGCGUUGGAUUAGCUAGUUGGUAGGGUAAAAGCCUACCAAGGCGACGAUCCAUAGCUGGUCUGAGAGGAUGAUCAGCCACACUGGGACUGAGACACGGCCCAGACUCCUACGGGAGGCAGCAGUGGGGAAUAUUGGACAAUGGGCGAAAGCCUGAUCCAGCAAUGCCGCGUGAGUGAUGAAGGCCUUAGGGUUGUAAAGCUCUUUUAACCGGGAUGAUAAUGACAGUACCGGGAGAAUAAGCACCGGCUAACUACGUG